rnacentral:rRNA from 1 species
AUUGAACGCUGGCGGCAUGCCUUACACAUGCAAGUCGAACGGCAGCACGGGAGCAAUCCUGGUGGCGAGUGGCGAACGGGUGAGUAAUAUAUCGGAACGUGCCCAGUCGUGGGGGAUAACGUAGCGAAAGCUACGCUAAUACCGCAUACGAUCUAUGGAUGAAAGCGGGGGGUCGCAAGACCUCGCGCGAUUGGAGCGGCCGAUAUCAGAUUAGGUAGUUGGUGAGGUAAAGGCUCACCAAGCCGACGAUCUGUAGCUGGUCUGAGAGGACGACCAGCCACACUGGGACUGAGACACGGCCCAGACUCCUACGGGAGGCAGCAGUGGGGAAUUUUGGACAAUGGGCGCAAGCCUGAUCCAGCAAUGCCGCGUGCAGGAUGAAGGCCUUCGGGUUGUAAACUGCUUUGUACGGAACGAAACGGNGAGCUCUAAUACAGUUUGCUAAUGACGGUACCGUAAGAAUAAGCACCGGCUAACUACGUG